rnacentral:lncRNA from 1 species
UCCACUAUACAAUUCAACUUUUUAAUCUUGCUCCUUCUGCUCCACAAAAGGCUCAUCUUAAAGAUUGUUCAUGUUGUUAACUCAUGUUAUCUCUUUUAUAAACUUAUAAGGCACUGGAAACCUACACAGAUCUACCUCUCAUGGACCAAAGAGCCUCCAUCCAGAAAAGUACAUCUGUCCAAAGUUCCCACUUGCUACCUAUUCCAAAGGGCACUUACUACACCCAGGACAGCUCCAGAGAAGCAGCCUUCAGAUGCUCCAAUCUCCUCUCAGACACAGACACUUUUUCCUGGACCUGUUCUUCUGACCUAUCCUCAGAUGUCUCCACAGGCCCUGGAGAGCAAGGAAACAGCCAACUCUUCAAAGACUGGACAAACACCCCCAUACCCAUUGCUCUAGUUUCCCCAGAGACACCUCUGCCCAAUGUCAGCAUGAAGCAGCCAGAUAUCACCAAAAACAUUAUUCCUGCUUCACCAUCACCUCUUUCUAAUUUUUUUCCUUUUUUAACUAAACCAAACUAGGGAAAUGUUGGUAUUCUGUCUAAAUCCCACCCCCUCAUCCCAGAGUUCCUGGCAGCAGCCAGGCAUGCUCCUCCCCACAGUUACCUGGCAAUAA